rnacentral:rRNA from 1 species
UACGGAGGGUGCAAGCGUUAUCCGGAUUUACUGGGUUUAAAGGGUGCGUAGGUGGGCAGGUAAGUCAGUGGUGAAAUCUCCGGGCUUAACUCGGAAACUGCCAUUGAUACUAUUUGUCUUGAAUAUCCUGGAGGUAAGCGGAAUAUGUCAUGUAGCGGUGAAAUGCUUAGAUAUGACAUAGAACACCCAUUGCGAAGGCAGCUUACUACGGGAUCAUUGACACUGAGGCACGAAAGCGUGGGGAUCAAACAGG